AUCUGUUUUGCCUCCCGGUUCUAGCUCUGCCUAAAUUCAGCAUUUUGAUUCUGAAAGUACACGGCGUAGUCCAGUUUCAGCUGUAAGAGAUUAACAACUCGAAAUAUUUAGAAAACUCGCACCUGCAAAAACCUCAGUAACUCCAGUUUGGGUGGGAACAUGUAGGUCUUUCAAAUAAAAAUGAAAAUGCAGAAUUCACACCGACACAGAAUUUCACAACAACAAAAAGGCCAAAGUUCAGCCUGUACAUGAGGAAACAGAAGAAAACUGUAGAAAGCAAAAAUGUUGUAUAAUCUGGACUUGACCAAGAAUCUCUCUUCUAUAGUAAGAAAGAUUCGAUCUCAAUUCUAAGUGGAAAAGGUUAGAACGACUUACGUACAAAGGAGGAAAGUAAAGAGAGUGGUCUUGACGGUGAAAGCGAGCGAAGGGAACACGAGACACGAGACAAGAGAAGAGCUAUAAAGUUGAAUUAAAUGAUUACUUUAUUGAGAUUUUUAGACACAAGUAACGAAUGAAAUUGCAACAAGUAUUAUAAGGGACGCGGUGAUUGGAACGAGGGAGCUCCGGCACCUGUGCGUACCGA